GACGUAGGGGGCGAGCGUUAUCCGGAUUCACUGGGCGUAAAGGGCGCGCAGGCGGCUACGUAAGUCCGGCGUGAAAUCCCAUGGCUUAACUGUGGAACUGCGUCGGAUACUGCGUUGGCUUGAGGAUGGUAGAGGCCAUUAGAACUAGCGGUGUAGCGGUGAAAUGCGCAGAUAUCGCUAGGAAUGCCGGUGGCGAAGGCGGAUGGCUGGGCCACUCCUGACGCUGAGGCGCGAAAGCUAGGGGAGCGAACCGGAUUAGAUACCCGGGUAGUCCUAGCCGUAAACGGUGGGUGCUAGGUGUGGGGAUCGCAAGAUUUCCGUGCCGCAGCUAACGCAUUAAGCACCCCGCCUGGGGAGUACGGCCGCAAGGCUAAA
rnacentral:rRNA from 1 species